CAAAAGGGGACUUUUCUCUACUUCUUUGUCCUGUAGAGGUGUAAAUCUAUCCUACUAAGUUAAAACCAGUUGCAGUCAGUCUAGAGGACUCUAAUUAAAACAUCCCUCCAUAGCCUCUCAGCUUCAAUCAAGUUUUCCAGACAGAUCCUACACUAAUCUGUAGCCACCUAUGUGCUUAAGCUUUUUAUAACAGAGAGAUAGGCCAGCUGCUGGCCCCACCCCAUUUCCUCCAAGAAGACUGGUGGGCACUGAAGAAACUCCACCCACAAAAGUGGCAACGCUAGCCAUUGAUCGAUCCUGCCUUUCACCUCAACUGCUGCAAAGGACUUUUCAGACCAUGGACAAGAGGACAGUAGAAUCAACUUUCUCCAUGUUGCUUGGGCCAAUGGUAGGCAAGUCUUCCUAAAAUUCCUAAUCCACAGGUCCCAUGCUAUCAGCAGAAGGCAGGUCUUCUUAAAGCGGCUGCCCUCAACAACUACGGAGGACCUUGGGAGAGGCUGUCCAUGCAGUCAGCUAGAUUCUUGUAAGUUCCAGGGAACCGAACUGGACCCACCCAAACAGGUCAGAUUCACUCUAGACAUUAUUCAGUCUUUCCCCGGUCCUGGGAUUCCCUUCCCUCAUCUUAGGACCCCCCUCCCCCAGGAACCCCUUCCUCAUCUUAUGAUCCUCUGUUCAAGUACCAGAACCUGAGAAAAAAAACUUUUUCUAAACUUAACUUUGUCCUCUGCUCUGCC
rnacentral:lncRNA from 1 species